UGGGGAAUGUUGCGCAAUGGGCGAAAGCCUGACGCAGCGACGCCGCGUGGGGGAGGAAGGCCCUAGGGUUGUAAACCCCUGUCAGACGGGACGAACCGUGUGUCGGCAAAUAUCCGGCAUGCCUGACGGUACCGUCAGAGGAAGCUCCGGCUAACUCCGUGCCAGCAGCCGCGGUAAUACGGAGGGAGCGAGCGUUGUUCGGAAUUACUGGGCGUAAAGGGCGCGUAGGCGGCCGAGUAAGUCGCGUGUGAAAGGCCGGGGCUCAACCCCGAGCACUGCACGUGAUACUGCCCGGCUAGAGAAAGGUAGAGGCGAGCGGAAUUCCCGGUGUAGCGGUGGAAUGCGUAGAUAUCGGGAAGAACACCUGUGGCGAAGGCGGCUCGCUGGGCCUUGUCUGACGCUGAAGCGCGAAAGCGUGGGGAGCAAACAGGAUUAGAUACCCCCGUAGUCC
rnacentral:rRNA from 1 species